AUUGAACGCUGGCGGCAUGCCUUACACAUGCAAGUCGAACGGUAACAGGUCUUCGGAUGCUGACGAGUGGCGAACGGGUGAGUAAUACAUCGGAACGUGCCCGAUCGUGGGGGAUAACGAAGCGAAAGCUUUGCUAAUACCGCAUAAGAACUACGGAUGAAAGCAGGGGACCGCAAGGCCUUGCGCGAACGGAGCGGCCGAUGGCAGAUUAGGUAGUUGGUGGGAUAAAAGCUUACCAAGCCGACGAUCUGUAGCUGGUCUGAGAGGACGACCAGCCACACUGGGACUGAGACACGGCCCAGACUCCUACGGGAGGCAGCAGUGGGGAAUUUUGGACAAUGGGCGAAAGCCUGAUCCAGCCAUGCCGCGUGCAGGAUGAAGGCCUUCGGGUUGUAAACUGCUUUUGUACGGAACGAAAAGACUCUUUCUAAUAAAGAGGGUCCAUGACGGUACUGUAAGAAUAAGCACCGGCUAACUACGUGCCAGCCGCCGCCGUAAGAC
rnacentral:rRNA from 1 species